rnacentral:sRNA from 1 species
CUUGCCUCACUGGCUUCAAGGUUCCACUGAUACAUUGCAGUACUUGUUAAUUUCAAGCUGCAACAAUCUUGUGGGGCUUCCUCAGUGGCUAUCUGCUACAACUUGUAUGAAAACACUGUGUCACAAGCUGUCCUAAUAUGUUGUCUCUCCAUGAUUUCAUCCAUCACCUACCCACCUUUGAAGGAUUGGAAAUUGAAGGUAAUCUCGAAUCGUGCCAAUACUUAACCUUUGAUGAACCAGAAGAAGUGGAGGAAAGGAUAGAAGAAUUGGAGUAAGGAAAAAGUAGUGAGAAUGGAGCAGAGAAUUCAGAUAGCCCACCUCCAACAAGGUGAACUAUUC